rnacentral:rRNA from 1 species
GACGAACGCUGGAGGCGUGCUUAACACAUGCAAGUCGAACGAUGAAAUGGAGCUUGCUCCAUGGAUUAGUGGCGAACGGGUGAGUAACACGUGAAUAACCUGCCCUUAAUUUUGGAAUAACCCAGGGAAACCUGGGCUAAUACCGGAUAAGUAAGCCUGUGGCAUCACAUGGUUUUGGAACGUUUUUCGAUUAAGGAUGGAUUCGCGGCCUAUCAGCUUGUUGGUGAGGUAAUGGCUCACCAAGGCGACGACGGGUAGCCGGCCUGAGAGGGUGAACGGCCACACUGGGACUGAGACACGGCCCAGACUCCUACGGGAGGCAGCAGGGGGGAAUAUGGCGCAAUGGACGAAAGUCUGACGCAGCGACGCCUCGUGAGGGACGAAGGUCUUCGGAUUGUAAACCUCUUUCAGCAGGGACGAAGCGAAAGUGACGGUACCUGCAGAAGAAGCACCGGCUAACUAUGUGCCAGCAGCCGCAGUAA